ensembl:snRNA U1 U1 spliceosomal RNA
AUACUUACUUGGCAAGGGAAAUACUGUAAUCACAAAUGUUGUUUUCCCAGUAAAGUUUAGUUAUUGCCCUCCAGAGUUGCUGCCCUUUAUGAUUUCCCCAAAUAUGUGAAACUAACAACAUAGGUUGUAGUAGUAGGGGAUGCAUUCAUGCUCACCCCUG